UGAGCAUCACAAACCUCCUGCAGAGAAAAAUGUAUCAGAUGCAGGAGUAGGAGGACUCUGGAUGGCACUGCAUCCAUGUUUCUUUGUGUUAGGUGCACAGUAUAACUUUGGAGGUAUUUUACAAUAUAAAGGAAAAGUUGUUGAACAGCGUGUCUUAUAUCAUGGACUCUUGAACUUCCAAAGCUUGACCUGUUUCAUAAGAUUAUUGAAGGGCCCAUAUCUGAGAAUGUCUUUAGAAGCUGGUGUGGAAUGUUAUUCAAUAAAUGGUGGACAGACGGAACAUUUGCCUUCUCUACGUGAAAAUGUUGGGCUGUAUUUUCAGUGAGUUUACUCUUAGCACAGCUGAAGAAAACUAUAAGCCCCAGGUUAUCUUAGGGCUAAAACAUCCGCCAAAAUAAUUUAGAACAGUUUAAUUGCUGCUCUCAACUAUUCUAGUUUCAAGAAUUCAUGUACUUCAUCUCACAAGUGAAGGAAUCUGGAGGCAGCAGAUGCUAUACGAGGUCAUAGACUGUAUGGGGAUUUUCAGAAUUUGGAGAGUAAUUCAUGUGAGCUUCCUGACUUAACUGGUUCACCCAAAGAAAGAAGCACCACAAUGUUCAUCCAGUAUUCUAAACGAACCAAAAGCUUCUCAAACGUUAUCUACUUUUAAAGAUAAAAUGCUUUCCUCAGUUUGGUUCUUUCGCGCCUCCAUGGGCAGGAGCAGCUUUGGAACUUCUCCAUCUUGGGACAGCAGCAGGCAGAGGACGGCGGAGAUGAUGCGCCUUUGAGGGGAAGGAACAAGCAACAGGAUGCAGUUUUCUUGUCCAGAAUGAAUGAAUGGAAAGCAACACGUCUCCUGUGUACCUGUGUAUUCAUUUCUGGUGGCAUCUUAGUGGGGCCUUUGAAACAAAUGGGAAAGUUUUGUACUCCUUUAGGAUGAAAUAGAAUUCACCUCUGGAGCAAGGGUGUGCACCAGCUGCUUACAAACUUCCCACUGAAAGUACAGAGCUACACAUCUACACAGGGAUUGAGAGCCCCUGAGAUGCCUAUUGAGAUAAACGGAACCCAUUUGAUUAUUACUGAAAGCUGUAGAGUUCAUCAAGUACAGGCCAGGAGGAUUCAUGUGCAUCUACCUAAAGAGGACAUUGUCACUGGCACUGCAGUGCACCAUAUCCCCAAAGAACAGACAGCUUACAUGAAUGGUUUUCUCUCCAUGGAUGAAAAACUGCCCAGGCGUGAAUGUGUUUUUCCAUAUGGGGUAACAACUUACCCCGAGCCUAUGUUAACGCAUUGGAGUAACUUGUUACAGUAGUGCAAUUUCUGUAUAAAUGAAAGGCCUAAACCUGUUUGGCCACUUUGGAUAGAUGCAUCUGAAAGUCCAGGAUGAGAAGGCAGCACAUAUUCAGUGCUGAAGCCUGUCUUGCACAGGUAACCAGGGAUAACAGCAACACAUCCAUUGAUGAAUUCUUAUCUCAAGAGCAAGAAGACUGUGUGUCUAUGGAAGCUUCAUCCAGCUCAGUUGAGGAGGAGUUGGUGCCACAAGCAGCAGUGAUGCCAACACUUCCAGUGGGAAAGGGAAGAGGACCAGCCUGAGGCCACCUUGAAAGACCAAGGAGAGCUACAGCAGGAUGUGGAGCAGAACCACUGCCACCACCCCCAGAAAAUAUUGCAGAUAAUGACAUCUUUAGAGGAAGAAAUGGCAGAGUGUAGGAAAAAAACUCCACAGCUAAUACAUCAUUGGAAGACAGCCAAGGACAUAGUCCAUGAAAGUGCUGAGCCAACAAGAGAAAGUAAUAAAGGCAUAGCGGUGGAAACAUUCCCCCUGUUUCUCUUACAAGAUAUCCUGACUGUUAUCAUAAGAGAAACAAACAGAGAGGCAGAAAGAAGAUUCAGGGAGUGGAAUGAUAGCCAUCCUGAAAAUAGAAAGGAAUGGAGAAAGCGGAACGAAACAGAGCUGAAAGCCUACAUUUGCCUCCUGCUGCUGAGUGGUCUAUACCACGGUGGUCACGAGGCGCUGAAGGAGGUUUGGGAGUAAUGCACCGGAUGUCCUUGCUUCCAUGCCACCAUGCGUUUAAAACAAUUCCAUCAAAUCACCAACUACCUGAGAUUUGACAACAAACUGAUGUGAGGAAAGCAGAGUUGUGGACAAGCUUCCUAUCUUCAAAGAUAUUUCGACACAAUUUGUGGAGCAGCUCAGGAAAUGGUAUAUUUCAGGAAUAUACCUGAAGGUCGAUGAGCAGCUCAUUGCCUUCAGGGGUCGCUGUCCUUCCAGACAAUAUAUGCCCAGCAAGCCUGCCAAAUAUGGCUUGAAAAUUUGGUGGUGCUGUGAUGCAGCAACAUCAUUCCUCCUGUCUGAAGACAUCUACCUGGGCAACCAGAAGCUCCAUGCCAAGGUAAUCUUGGUACCCAGGUUGUUGAAAAACUGGUUCAUCCCUGGUACAAGACAGGAAGGAAUAUUUCAAAUAACAAUUUCUUUACAAGUGCUGACCUGGCAAAAGACUGCUACAGCAGGACUUGUCCUAUGUGGAUAUGGUUCGGAAAAGCAAGGAUGAUAUCCCAAACAAAAUGAAAGCAUAUGGAAGAAGGGAAACUUUUUCAUCCAUUUUUGCUUUUGAUGGAGAACUCACCCUAGUUUCCUAUGUUACAAAGAAAUCCAAAGUUGUGCUGUUGCUGUCAAGCAUGCACCAUGACCUGUCAGUGGGUGGAGAGCAAAGAAAGCCAGGUAUCAUCUAUGACUACAAUAAAAACAAGGGUGGGGUGGAUAACUUUGAACACUUAGUCCAUAUGACCACCUACAGAUGGAAAAUCAACAGGUGACCAAUGACAAAAUGUGUCAAUAUGCUGGAUGUGGCUGCCAUUGCCAGCCUCAUCAUUUGGCUAGGCCACAAAGAAAACUAGAAACAAAGAUCACAUUUAAGAAGACAGCGCUUUUUUUUUGCAGGAGCUUGAAAAACAGUUGAUCAUUGGACAAAUAAAAUGAAGAAUGAUGGAUACACGUAAGCUGUCUACGUCCAUCAAGUCUGGUAUGACAGCCCUAAAUUACAAAUUGCCACAACACACCCCAGUAGAACCUUCUGCAAGCAUGAGUGGAUGUUGUGCUUUUUGUCCAAUGACAGAUGACCGGACAACCUGGAAACAGCAUGAAGAUUGUAAGUGGUUUGCUUGUGUGCACCACAGUAUAUCAUUACUGCUCUGUGAGGAAUUCAAAAUUUAGUUAAAACAGUUAGGAAAUGUUUUUGGAAGUAAUUGUUAGUUUGAAACAGUCUGAACUGCAGACUUAGCAAAUUGUUCAUUCGUGUUUUGAAACUCUAAAAGAAGUUUAAAUUUUGUUCCUAGUUCUAGUUAAAUUAUAUUUUGGUUUGAAAUCAUCAUAAAUACUCUUUCAAACAAUCUGUAUUUUUAAUAAAUAGUUUUUUGUAUAUUUA